CUCUUCUCGCUGGUCCUGUGCGCGCCGAGGUUUUGCCCAUUCUUGGGCUUGGUGGGGAUUUCGGGCUGACGCUUUUUCCACUCAAAGGCUAAGGAGACGACAUGGAGAUGGGCGAAUAGGGAAGGGGUGGAAGGGGUUAAGGGGGUCCCGUGGGCCUCCAAUGACCCCUGAACCCCGUGCCUUUAGUUUUACCGGCUGGAAGCCCCAAGUUUAGAAACCUUGAGUGCCUAAGAAGACGGACCCGGAGCUGGGGCCCUUAGAGGGACGUGGAAGGCGGACUUAGAAGACUAAUAUUGUCAAAAGAUGUUUUUGUUGUCGUUUUUUUCCCUGACGACGUUGUGGGAAAUUAGUGGCAUUGAGUACAAAACAGGGUGUAAUGGGGUUUAAUGCACAGCUUGGAAUUACUAUUUUUUGUGCAAGCUUUAAACCAGAUGUGGAAAGCCUCUCAGUCCUAAUGGGAUGAAGUCGUAGUGUGUGUUGGUGAGGUUGAUAGUAAAAAUAAUGCUACUUUUAGCAUUAGGCUUUCACGUGUAUUUAUUUGUGAGGCACCUACUAGCGACUAAACACUAGAAGAUUCUGGAAAUAAGAUACAGAAGUAGGCAAGUGCAUGGUGGAAAGAGAGCUUGGCGUCCUGAAACCCCUGGGUUGGGACCACUGACUGACUCAACUGCUGAAUAGGGGGACUUUGGAAUAGUUGAGCCUCAACUUCCUUAUCUAUAAAAUAGGGAUAAUACUGGCUAGGUUAUUGCUAGGAGUAGAAGAUCCUGUACAUACUACCUGUUAUACAUAAAUUUAAAUUGUGGACUUCAAUCUGCCCAUAGAUUGUAGAUCAGUCUUAGAUUUGUGAUGGUCAAAAGGAUCUUUUGAGAGUUGUGGUAUAUAACGUAUUAGCUAGUCAAAAUAGUAUUUUCACAGCAACAAUUCAAAAGCAUUUGCCCAGGUACUUUUUAAUAGAGAAUUCUAAAGGUUAUAAUGGGACCACCCAUUAAAUUUCAAUGUCUCCAAGGGAAGCUGGCCUCUGAUACUCUCCUAAGAUGGUUAUACGUCCGUAACAUACUGUGCAUAUAAGGUAUACAUAUAUUAUAAUCAUAACACGACAUCUUUAUAGCAUUCAAUAAAACUGACUAAACUGUCUAAAAUGUUAGUCUCCCUCUCUAUAUACUUUAUGAGGACAGGAAACACUGUCUUCACAGUUCAAUUUCCAGCAUACACAGUUAACGCCUGGCAGUUACAUAAUAAAGAUAAUUGUUGAUCUGAGAGAACAUGCCUUACCAUCUGGAUGAUUUAGGAUGGUUUCUCAGAGGAGAGAACCUGGAAGCUGAGGCUGAAGAAAAGAUUCACCUGUGAGACCAAGAAGGAAAUUGUAAACAAAAGAAUGUACAGACAAAAAGGGACAAAUGGGCAAUCCCAUAACUGAAACUAGCAAAUAGUUUUUACAUAUAAACCUGGAGAGUAGUAGGAGGUCAGGCUGGGGACCAAUAAAGAAUUGUAGGCAGAGAAGCAAAUGUUGAGAUUUGACUUAGAAAUAUUCCUUCUGGCUACAGUGUGGAAAGUGGAAUCAAUUUCAUUUGUUGAAACGACUAUUGCAGUCUCCCAAACAGUGAAUAAUAAUGGCCUCGAUAGGCAGCCAAGAUGGCCGAAUAGGAACAGCUCUGGUCUACAGUUCCCAGCAUGAGUGAUGCAGAAGACGGGUGAUUUCUGCAUUUCCAUCUGCGGUACUGGGUUCAUCUCACUACGGAGUGCCAGACAGUGGGCACAGGAUAGUGGGUGCAGUGCACCGUGCACGAGCCAAAGCAGGGCGAGGCAUUGCCUCACUCAGGAAAUGCAAGGGAUCAGGGAGUUCCCUUUCCUAGUCAAAGAAAGGGGUGACAGACAGCAUCUGGAAAAUCGGGUCACUCACACCCUAAUACUGCGCUUUUCCGACGGGCUUAAAAAAUGGCACACCAGGAGAUUAUAUCCUGCACCUGGCUCCGACGGUCCUACGCCCACGGAGUCUCGCUGAUUGCUAGCACAGCAGUCUGAGAUCAAACUGCAAGGAGGCAGCGAGGCUGGGGGAGGGGCGCCCGCCAUUGCCCAGGUUUGCUUAGGUAAACAAAGCAGCCAGGAAGCUAAAACUAGGUGGAGCCCACCACAGCUCAAGGAGGCCUGCCUGCCUCUGUAGGCUCCACCUCUGGGGGCAGGGCACAGACAAACAAAAAGACAGCAGUAACCUCUGCAGACUUAAAUGUCCCUGUCUGACAGCUUUGAAGAGAGCAGUGGUUCUCCCAGCAUGCAGCUAGAGAUCUGAGAACGGGCAGACUGCCUCCUCAAGUAGGUCCCUGACCCCUGACCCCUGAGCAGCCUAACUGGGAGGCACCCCCCAGUAAGGGCAGAAUGACACCUCACACAGCCGGGUACUCCUCUGAGACAAAACUUCCAGAGGAAUGAUCAGGCAGCAACAUUUGCUGUUCACCAAUAUCCACUGUUCUGCAGCAUCCACUGCUGAUACCCACGCAAACAGGGUCUGGAGUGGUCCUCUAGCAAACUCCAACAGACCUGCAGCUGAGGGUCCUGUCUGUUAGAAGGAAAACUAACAAACAGAAGGGACAUCCACACCAAAAACCCAUCUGUACAUCACCAGCAUCAAAGACCAAAAGUAAAUAAAA
rnacentral:lncRNA from 1 species